GGUCAAGCUACAAAGAGCACAUGGUGGAUGCCUUGGCAGAUGAAGGCGAUGAAGGGCGUGGUAAGCUGCGAUAAGCUUCGGGGAGGUGCAAACUACCUUAGAUCCGGAGAUGCCCGAAUGGGGAAACCCUUCCGAGUAAUGUCGGAAUACCACAGGAAGAAAACCUAACGGGAAGUAUUCCUGUGGAGCUAACCUGGCGAACUGAAACAUCUAAGUACCCAGUGGAAGAGAAAUCAACUGAGAUUCCCCUAGUAGCGGCGAGCGAACGGGGAACAGCCCAAACUCGGUCCUGCGUAAUAGCUGGUGCGCGUUGCAGGGCGGGGGUAUCAGGGUCGUUAUUGGUUCCGUGUACCAACCGGAGCCGGAGAGUCAAAAAGUCGUUCCUUAGCCGAAAGGUCUGGGAAGUCCUACCAUAGACGGUGAUAGUCCGGUAGGCGAAAAGGAAGCGAUCUCUCUUUGACGAUACCUAAGUACCACGGAGCACGAGAAACUCUGUGGGAAUAUGGGGGGACCACCCUCUAAGGCUAAAUACUCUCAUCUGACCGAUAGUGAACUAGUACCGUGAGGGAAAGGUGAAAAGUACCCCUGGCGGGGAGUGAAAUAGUACCUGAAACCAUGUGCUUACGAUCAGUCGGAGCCUUGUAUUUAUACAGGGUGACGGCGUGCCUUUUGCAUAAUGAUCCGGCGAGUUGCUUGUAUGCAGCAAGGUUAAGCCCUUCUGGGGCGUAGCCGUAGCGAAAGCGAGUCUGAAUAGGGCGUUUUAGUUGCAUGCAGCAGACCCGAAACUGGGUGAGCUACCCAUGGCCAGGAUGAAGUGACGGUAACACGUCAUGGAGGUCCGAACUGAUGAACGUUGAAAAGUUCUCGGAUGAGCUGUGGGUAGGAGUGAAAGGCCUAUCAAACCCAGGGAUAGCUGGUUCUCCUCGAAAUAUAUUUAGGUAUAGCCUCGGAAAGUUUGUGGCGGAGGUAGAGCACUGGAUGGGGAAGGGAUCUUACCAGAUUACCGACCCCACUCAAACUCCGAAUACCGUGCACAUCAAUUCCGGGAGUCAGGCAGUGGGGGAUAAGCUUCAUUGCCGAGAGGGAAAAAACCCAGAUCGUCAGCUAAGGCCCCAAAGUGCCAGCUAAGUGAGAAAGGAUGUGGAAUUUCAUAGACAACCAGGAUGUUGGCUUAGAAGCAGCCAUCAUUUAAAGAGUGCGUAAUAGCUCACUGGUCAAGUGGUUCUGCGCCGACAAUUUACGGGACUAAUAAGCUGGCCGCCGAAGCUGCGGACUUGACAGGCGUUCGCGUCUGUCAUUUGGUAGAGGAGCGUUGCAUUGUAGGAUGAAGCGGUGUUGUAAGGCACCGUCGACGAAAUGCAAGUGAGAAUGCCGGAAUAAGUAGCGAAAAACCAGGCGAGAAACCUGGUCACCGAAAACUCAAGGGUUCCUGGGGAAGGCUAAUCCUCCCAGGGUAAGUCGGGCCCUAAGCCGAGGCCGAAAGGCGUAGGCGAUGGAAAUCCGGUUAAUAUUCCGGAACCACCGAUCACGCGUCAUCACCUAAGGGGGGACGCAGGAGUGAGAUCCCAUCCGCGAUUGGUUGUGCGGGUCUAAGCUGGUAGGGGGAUCCGGUUGGCAAAUCCGCCGGGUCAUUCAACCCCGAGAAGCGAUGGGGAGUCCGUAAGGACGUAAAAGGGAUCGAAUCACGCUGCCAAGAAAAUCCUCGUAGGGAGUUUGAUUGGUGUCCGUACCGUAAACCGACUCAGGUGAGUGAGAAGAAUAUUCUAAGGUGCUCGAGAUAACCUCCUUUAAGGAACUAGGCAAAUUAGCCCCGUAACUUCGGGAGAAGGGGCCCCCGUUUCCGUCAGGUAUAUCCAUAUCGAAGCGGAUUUGGGGCGCAGUGAAAGGGCUCAAGUGACUGUUUAUCACAAACACAUGACUCUGCUAAGCCGAUGAGGCGAUGUAUAGGGUCUGACACCUGCCCGGUGCUGGAAGGUUAAGAGGAGAUGUUAGUCGCAAGGCGAAGCAUUGAAUCGAAGCCCCAGUAAACGGCGGCCGUAACUAUAACGGUCCUAAGGUAGCGAAGUCCCUUGUCGGGUAAGUUCCGACCUGCACGAAUGGUGUAACAAAUUGAGCGCUGUCUCAAAGGAGGGCUCGGCGAUAUUGUAGUGGCGGUGAAGAUGCCGCCUACCCGCAGAUGGACUAAAAGACCCCGUGAACCUUAACUGUAGCUUGGCAUUGGCUUUUGAUAAUACUUGUGUAGGAUAGGUGGGAGACUUUG
rnacentral:rRNA from 1 species